GACGAACGCUGGCGGCGUGCUUAAUACAUGCAAGUCGAACGCAGUGGGGGCGGGUGAUUAACACGUGGGUAACCUCCCAUCAGAGGGGAUAACACUUGGAAACAGGUGCUAAACCGAUACUGAUGGAUGGACCCGCGGGGCAUUAGCUAGUGGGUGAGGUAACGGCUCACCAAGGCCACGAGGCAUAGCCGGCCUGAGAGGGUGACCAGCCACACUGGGACUGAGACACGGCCCAGACUCCUACGGGAGGCAGCAGUAGGGAAUAUUCGGCAAUGGGCGAAAGUCUGACCGAGCAACGCCGCGUGAGUGAAGAAGGUUUUCGGGUCGUAAAGCUCUGUUAGUAGGGAAGCGGUAUCUAACCAGAAAGCAACGGCUAACUACGUGCCAGCAGCCGCGGUAAUUC
rnacentral:rRNA from 1 species